UAAACACAAGAUGCCUCCUCCAUCCUAAGCCCACUGAGGGGACAGCAGGCAGAAGAACGUCUUUUGCAAGCACAGAACUUGAAGGAAUAUGUUAACAUAAGCUGCAUCUACGAAAUAAACUACAAAAAAUUGAGGCUGGAGAGGGGGACAAUAAAUUGAUUUAGAUGACUACCACAGAAAGAGGAAAUCCAGGCCUGGAAGUGAAGUCAUGCACUUAAAGCUAACAAGUGAGUUAAAAAUCUAAGAUCCAGUGGCGUAUAUACAAGCCUGACUCCUGGUUCUGAGCUCUGGUCCAGGACAAUAGUGCCUUUUCAAAUAAUAAGCAAAUAAAAAUUCCCGGGGAAGGAACA
rnacentral:lncRNA from 1 species